rnacentral:rRNA from 1 species
CCUACGGGAGGCAGCAGUGGGGAAUAUUGGGCAAUGGGCGCAAGCCUGACCCAGCAACGCCGCGUGAAGGAAGAAGGCUUUCGGGUUGUAAACUUCUUUUGACAGGGAAGAGUAGAAGACGGUACCUGUCGAAUAAGCUACGGCUAACUACGUGCCAGCAGCCGCGGUAAUACGUAGGUGGCAAGCGUUGUCCGGAUUUACUGGGUGUAAAGGGCGUGUAGCCGGGUUGACAAGUCAGAUGUGAAAUCCUGCGGCUUAACCGCAGAACUGCAUUUGAAACUGUUGGUCUUGAGUACUGGAGAGGCAGACGGAAUUCCUAGUGUAGCGGUGAAAUGCGUAGAUAUUAGGAGGAACACCGGUGGCGAAGGCAGUCUGCUGAACAGCAACUGACGGUGAGGCGCGAAAGCGUGGGGAGCAAACAGGAUUAGAUACCCCUGUAGUC